AACGAACGCUGGCGGCAUGCCUAACACAUGCAAGUCGAACGAGACCUUCGGGUCUAGUGGCGCACGGGUGCGUAACGCGUGGGAAUCUGCCCUUGGGUUCGGAAUAACAGUGAGAAAUUACUGCUAAUACCGGAUGAUGUCUUCGGACCAAAGAUUUAUCGCCCAGGGAUGAGCCCGCGUAGGAUUAGCUAGUUGGUGGGGUAAUGGCCUACCAAGGCGACGAUCCUUAGCUGGUCUGAGAGGAUGAUCAGCCACACUGGGACUGAGACACGGCCCAGACUGCUACGGGAGGCAGCAGUGGGGAAUAUUGGACAAUGGGCGCAAGCCUGAUCCAGCAAUGCCGCGUGAGUGAUGAAGGCCUUAGGGUUGUAAAGCUCUUUUACCCGGGAUGAUAAUGACAGUACCGGGAGAAUAAGCUCCGGCUAACUCCGUG
rnacentral:rRNA from 1 species